rnacentral:rRNA from 1 species
UACGGGGGGGGCAAGCGUUGUUCGGAAUUACUGGGCGUAAAGGGCCAGUAGGCGGCCAACUAAGUCCGACGUGAAAUCCCCAGGCUUAACCUGGGAACUGCGUCGGAUACUGGAUGGCUUGAAUUCGGGAGAGGGAUGCAGAAUUCCAGGUGUAGCGGUGAAAUGCGUAGAUAUCUGGAGGAACACCGGUGGCGAAGGCGGCAUCCUGGACCGACACUGACACUGAGGAGCGAAAGCCAGGGGAGCAAACGGG